UUUUAUUAGCAACCAAGAAACCAAGUUCAAUUGUACAAGCUAGCUACUAAAGACAGGAAAGAAGGAAACAAAACUACCUACCUAUUACAUGCCUCAAGGGAGGCCAGCUAGCCAGGCUUAGAGCUUGGGUCUAAUAGAAGCAUUAACCCUAUGUGCUAGCAAGAAAAAAUCAUAUACAAAUUUACAUCUGUAGACACCAAAAGUGACCCUUUCACCCCUAAAGGCCCUCCCAUUUCUAAGGAUCCAUAUAUUCCAUGCUGCUGUGAAUAUCACUUCAACGAAGUAGGGUGUGUAAACCUCCUCCUAGCCAUGAUAAUGCACUGUUGAAUAUCAUUGCCACCAGACCAAUCAAUCUGCAAGUAGUUUCAUAUCCUAACACUGAAAUUGCAAGAGAAGAGGUAUAACACAAAGUGUUAACGUGUGAUUUAGUUUCUUAGACCAUGAGAGUGUCGUAGCCACUUCUUACUAUACGAUGAACUUUGAGGUUGCUCAAAUGUCAUCUGUAACACGAUGAUUAUAACGACAACUUACGGGUUCAUCGGGAAGUUUGACAAAGGACUAGAUAGCUCGAGAGUGGAAUUUGCUCUUCCGAUGAUGAAGAGAUAUUCUUACAGCCCUCUUAGUGUAACGACAUCCAUCAUCG
rnacentral:lncRNA from 1 species